AGCCUGAACGCUGGCGGCGUGGUUAAGACAUGCAAGUCGCACGGACGUAGCAAUACGUUAGUGGCGAACGGGUGAGUAAUGAAUCGCUAAUGUACCCCGGACUCCGGGAUAGCUGCCCGAAAGGGCAGGUAAUACCGGAUGACAUGACCGCACGGCAUCGUGUGGUUCUCAAAGGUCCGCCGGUCUGGGCGCAGGCGAUUUCGUAUCAGCUAGUUGGUGAGGUAACGGCUCACCAAGGCGACGACGCGUAGCCGGACUGAGAGGUUGGCCGGCCACAUCGGGACUGAGACACUGCCCGGAUCCUACGGGGGCUGCAGUACGAAUCUUCCCCAAUGCACGCAAGUGUGAGGGAGCGACGCCGCGUGUGGGACGAAGUCCUUCGGGAUGUAAACCACUGUCAGGGGAUACCAAGUUCUGAGGAUCCCCAGAGGAAGAGGCGGCUAACUCUGUGCCAGCAGCCGC
rnacentral:rRNA from 1 species